GCCAAGAUGGCCGAGUGGUUAAGGCGCUGCAUUCAAGACCCUGUCUUAUCCAUUUACAUGGAAAUUCGCAGUAACGGAAGUUGCUUGGGUUCGAAUCCCAAUCCUGGCA